CCUACGGGUGGCAGCAGUGAGGAAUAUUGGUCAAUGGACGAGAGUCUGAACCAGCCAAGUAGCGUGAAGGAUGACUGCCCUAUGGGUUGUAAACUUCUUUUAUAUGGGAAUAAAAUGUUCCACGUGUGGGAUUUUGUAGGUACCAUAUGAAUAAGGAUCGGCUAACUCCGUGCCAGCAGCCGCGGUAAUACGGAGGAUCCGAGCGUUAUCCGGAUUUAUUGGGUUUAAAGGGAGCGUAGGUGGAUUGUUAAGUCAGUUGUGAAAGUUUGCGGCUCAACCGUAAAAUUGCAGUUGAAACUGGCAGUCUUGAGUACAGUAGAGGUGGGCGGAAUUCGUGGUGUAGCGGUGAAAUGCUUAGAUAUCACGAAGAACUCCGAUUGCGAAGGCAGCUCACUGGACUGCAACUGACGCUGAGGAGCGACAGCGUGGGUAGCAAACAGGAUUAGAUACCCGUGUAGUC
rnacentral:rRNA from 1 species